UGUCCAGGGAUGGGAAUCGAACCCACAAUUUUCCGCCCACCGGGUAGAUGCCAUGUCCACUAGGCUAUCCUGGAC